AAGGUGUUAUCAUAUAAGUACCUUAUCCAGCAACUGAUUGCUUCUUCUUCUUUGGCCUAUUCGUGUCAAGGAAAGCAAUAGACUGAGGACAAUUUAUCUUUCAGUGACCCUACUUCUUGCAAAAAAAGCACUGUGCCUGACUUUGAUCAGCCUUGAACUUGAGUUUUUGGGACUGACUCACAGCACUAGGCACCUUCUUAUUCUUCUUCAUUUUUUCUUUCUUAAAGGGACGAUGACUAUCUGAAGAAGAUCCUCCCACU
rnacentral:lncRNA from 1 species